GGGUGGCAUGGGUGGUAUGCCUGGAAUGGAAGGUUUGGGCGGCAUGGGCGGUAUGCCCGGCAUGGAAGGUUUGGGUGGCAUGGGUGGUUUGGCUGGUAUGAUGGGCGGAAUGGGCGGUAUGGGCAUGCCGCCUGGUAUGGAAGGUUUGGGUGCUAUGGGGAUGGAUGAGUUUGAGGAUGAGAGUGACGACGAAGGUUAGUAUUCCUGUGCCUGUUCUCAUUUUCUCAUUAUAGUUGAUGUGUUUUAAGCAUAGUUCAAAAAAGCGCUAGGCGUUAAUUGUGCGUUUUGCCACUGCCUUGCGCUUUUCUGACCAAAGCACAUGCUUAUGCGCAGAUUAAGCGCAGUUAUGCGCUAGGCGUCGCCUAGACCCUAGGCGCACUUAAGCUAGGCACACCUUCUUUAACUAUGGUUUUUAGAUACAGAAAAACGGACUCAUUUUCUCAUUAUAGUUGGUGAAAAUCCAAAUGACGGUUGUUUUGCUAAGGGCAUUUUUGUUGGUGUGGUCAUUAUUUUUAGCUGAAUCUGCCUGACAGGUCAAUUGAUCAUUCCCUUGUCUCCUCUUUUAUGUGAAAUUGCUCGGUACCAAGUCCCUUCAUCCUGUUUAUUUCAUCUGGCAUUUAUUGGCACUAAAUGAGCUAUUGAUCCUUGCUAAGGGCAUUUUCGGUGGUGUGGUCAUUAUAUUUAGCUGAAUCUGCCUGACAAGUCAAUUGAUCAUUCCCUUGUUUCCUCUUUUGUGAAAUUGCUUAUCCUCUUUAUUUCAUCUGAUAUUUCUUGGCACUAAAUGAGCUACUGAUCCUUUAAAUGGUAACUUUCUUUUUUGCUCUGAGGGUAGUCAUGGUUCUGGUUAUAAUAUGUUAAAUAUGUUAUUGUCAAGGAAGUAUGUUAUGCCUUGUGUACUCAUGAAAUAUUGAUAGAAUGCCCAACAUAGUUUAAUAUGUUAUCCACAACAGGAAUUGAAAUAGCUUAACUAGAGAAUUCAAAUUUUGAAUUAAAGAAAACUGUUUCAUCUCAAAUAUGUGAUCUAUUUUUCUCCAGAACUACAUAUUGUGUAUGGAUUUAUAUCGGUAGAAACCAAACAAUUUAUUUUGUUAGGCUCAUGUACUAGUUAAGAAAUGCAGUUUAUGACUUUGCACUAUAAUUAUUUUGAUUAUAUAAGGUGUACUAUUUUUUUUUGAAAAGUUACAUUUUAUGUUUGAUAAAUGAUCAAGUUCAUAGAAAACUAGUAGUAAAUGUGCAUAUUAGGCUGUAUAUUUAUUGCAUGUGGAUAUUUGAUACUCCCUCCGUCCCAAAAUUCUUGUCUUAAGUUUGUCUAGAAAUGUUUGUAUCUAAAUACUAAAACAUGAAUAGAUACAUUCAUAUUUAAACAAAUCUAAGACAAGAAUUUUGGGACGGAGGGAGUAGUUAUUAUUUCCGUGUUAAUUAUGUGAUUAGCACUAACGUUGAUAUUUGGUAUGAUAAAACAUGUUGAGAGCGCUCACCAUUGGAGCAAGUAAUCUAGAUGGUUGGAUUGACCUGUUUUGAUGGCUGAGAUUAGUUGGAUCUGCCCCUUUGGGUCUUUUUAUAUUGGUAUAGGUACAGAUUAUAAAUAAUACGAAAUAAAUAAAUUUUGAAAAUCUAAGUCAUGGUGAAUGAUACUGAUUUGGUGUUAUGAUUUUUGAUAUGCUGCUUUCUGGUCAAAAAUAGAAGUUUGACUUGUCCAAAAACUAACUACACCUGAUAUUUUUGAAACGGAGGGAGUAAAUUUUAUGAUGGCGAUGAUAAUUCAAUAUCUGAACAAAUUUGUUCGUCGAAAUUUAGAAAUGUGCCCUUUAGGUGUCAAUGGAUGUACUGUAUUUAUCCUUGUUAUAUUAUGUUAAAUUUAGUCCUGUAAAACAUUCUCAUAUACCCUUUAUCUUCUGUUGCUCUUGAUUAGGGGAAGUGUCAAAACCUCAAGACGCAGGGAAGGCUGAUGCCGCCCAAAUCUCCCAGGAGGUGGAAGGCAAAGCUGGCCCACCAGCUCAGAGCAACUGAAAGCAUUCCACUCAAUAAUCCCUACUCGAUUGUAUCC
rnacentral:lncRNA from 1 species